ACCAGUAGCGGAAGAGAGACCGUGGGAGCACCAUGAAUAUGACUUUGAGUUUUCGAUGAUACCUGAAAAGCGCUUCAGAGCCGAUAGCGAAAUACUAUUUGAAACUGGAUCUACAGAGACUCAAAAUCCAGCGUGCAAUCAAUCAGACGAGAAGAUAACAGAUAGCAUCAAAAGUCAUCUCAAGACACACUUUGAAACACCUGGAGCUC